GGCAGACGGGUGAGUAAUGUAUAGGAAUCUACCUAGUAGUACGGAAUAAUUGUUGGAAACGACAACUAAUACCGUAUACGCCCUACGGGGGAAAAAUUUAUUGCUAUUAGAUGAGCCUAUAUUAGAUUAGCUAGUUGGUGGGGUAAUAGCCUACCAAGGUAAUGAUCUAUAGCUGAUCUGAGAGGAUGAUCAGCCACACUGGAACUGAGAUACGGUCCAGACUCCUACGGGAGGCAGCAGUGGGGAAUAUUGGACAAUGGGCGAAAGCCUGAUCCAGCCAUGCCGCAUGAGUGAAGAAGGCCUUUGGGUUGUAAAGCUCUUUUAGUGAGGAAGAUAAUGACGGUACUCACAGAAGAAGUCCUGGCUAACUCCGUGCCAGCAGCCGCGGUAAUACGGAGAGGGCUAGCGUUAUUCGGAAUUAUUGGGCGUAAAGGGCGCGUAGGCUGGUUAAUAAGUUAAAAGUGAAAUCCCGAGGCUUAACCUUGGAAUUGCUUUUAAAACUAUUAAUCUAGAGAUUGAAAGAGGAUAGGGGAAUUCCUGAUGUAGAGGUAAAAUUCGUAAAUAUUAGGAGGAACACCAGUGGCGAAGGCGUCUAUCUGGUUCAAAUCUGACGCUGAAGCGCGAAGGCGUGGGGAGCAAACAGGAUUAGAUACCCUGGUAGUCCACGCUGUAAACGAUGAAUGUUAAAUAUGGGGAGUUUACUUUCUGUAUUACAGCUAACGCGUUAAACAUUCCGCCUGGGGACUACGGUCGCAAGAUUAAAACUCAAAGGAAUUGACGGGGACCCGCACAAGCGGUGGAGCAUGUGGUUUAAUUCGAUGCAACGCGAAAAACCUUACUCAUUCUUGAC
rnacentral:rRNA from 1 species